GUUCCUCAUAAUCAUCACAAAUAGGACAUAAAUUUGAAGGGCUUAAACCAAAAAGCAUUGUCCUAAAAUUAGUGAGAAUGCAUUCUUGGCUGAUCUUUCAAAGAAAGCCCUUUGCAUAUUCAGGAUCCUUCCACUUCCUCAUCUCCAUGAAGAGAGCAUGAUUCUUGUGAGUUGCUACACCAUUCACCUCAUACACAUAUUUCAUAAAGCACACUCCAUCACUAGACUUCCUCUCCAUGCUAUACUAUCUGCUCGGUCAGUAUUGUAACUAACUUCCAUAUCUGUUACCAUCUUCACAACAUUAGGGGAAAGAUAAUCCUUAAUUGUAUGAAUUUGCCAACAACCAUUCACAUCAAUAUACUCAGCCACAGAUUUUUGAAGCUCAUAAUGGGGAGUGUUACUAGCAGCUACAUCCACCAAUCUGCCACAGCUUGGAAUCCAAGCAUCGUUCCAAAAUUUUAUCAAGGUGAUGGUAACUUCGAAUGAUAUUCUGACAGAAUGUGUCCCAAAUAGAACAAAUACCCCGCCAAAAGUUUUUUAUUUGUGUUUGCUUAUUGAGCAUUGGCAGAAUACUAGAGCCACAACGAUACUUGCUCCUGAUAAAAGGAGCCCAAACAGGAGAAUCUCCAAUUGGCUCUCAUCAUAUCUCAUUUUCCUCAAGCCUAGCCCUCCCUGCUCCUUGUGAGUGCUGAUCUUGUCUCAUGACACUAGAUGCAUCUUUUGUCCAUUGAGCUAUGACCCCAAAUGAAAUUCCUGUAGACUUUAUCAACAUCAUCACGAGUGGAUUUGGGUAGGAGUGUAGUUUGCAUGACAUACCUUGGCAACAUCAUCUCGGAGUCACUCUUCCUGCAAAAAUAGAGAUUUAGCUUUCCAAGCACUGAUUUACUUUAUCAAUUAUAAAUUGAAAAGUAUUUCGGGAGGGUCUCUUAUGAAAGAUUGGGACUCCAAUAUACUUAUCCUAGUCCUCAGUCCAUGGUAUCUCCUUCUCAUCACUAACUUGUUGCUCAAGUGUCUUCCAACAUAAUUGGAGAUUUAUUGUCUGCCCCGAACUCCUGCAAAACAAAUCUAAAAUAUUCUUAACCAAAUAGACCUGGUCAAGAGUAGCCUUCGCAAAAAGAAUAACAUCAUCCGCAAAAGCUAAGAGAACAAUAUCCUAUUUGUGUGAACAGAUAAAUUAGAUUUGUAAUUUUAAAUUUUAGAGAAAAUAAAUAUCAGUUAAAAGUAAUAUUAACAUUUGUAAUCGAUUUAACUACUGUAAGAAGUUAUUAAAGAAGGAAUUCUUUUUAGCUUGCACUUGUAGUGAUACGACUUUCAAAAUAUGAUAUAUAAAAAUAUAUUAAAAAAAUACUCACACGGUCCCAAAUAAAGUAUUAGAUUUACGAAAAAAUUGUACCAAAAUAUCAUUUCACGUUUUAACGUAAUGGUUCUUUUUCACCGAUAUCCCUGAUAAAUCUUACUUUAGUUUUUAAAUUUAAUAUUAAGACAAAUGAUAACCAAUACUCUUAGGUCAUUAAUUAAGAAAUUAAAAAAAGAAAUCUUUUUAUUGAAAUAUAAAAUUAUAUUAUUAAUGAUUUUUUUAUUUUCUCUUCUAAUUUUAAUAAUAAAUAUUUUUAAUUUUUAAUUUUUAAUUUUUAUAAUAAAUAUAUCUAUAUAUAAAUCUAUUUGCCAUGUCCUGAUCUGGUUUGUAGUUUUGACACGAUUAUUUCGAACCUAAUAUAUUGCUGUCUUUUAAAUGUAGGUUGUGAAGGUUCAUUAAAAUACUGGGUAUGUAGACAACACACCAACACAGAGACUGCUCCAGGUCAUUGGUAAGCAUAAGCUCCUGUUCAUCUAUAUUUUCUUUGAAACAUGUAAUUAAUUAAAUUACUUUGCAAGAUUUGUAGAUACUUCUGCUAAAUUAUUAUAUGGAUGAUAAAUUUUGGAACUGAUUAGAUGUUUAAUAUCAAGAAAUAGUAUGACUUUUAAUUGCAAUGUUAGCCACUUGAUCAUAGAAGCUAUGAUACCAUGCCAAGCACCAACUUGGCUACAGAUUUUAGUUGUUAGGUGCAUUCACAUACUUGGUUUUGUAUAUCUAACAAAUGCUAAUGUCAUCCAUGUCAUAUCAGCACAAUCUUCUCUCUUCAACCCUAGUUGUACUAAAUUCUCUUGCAUCAAGUGCAUUGCCUUAUCCAAACCUCCAACAUACAAGCUUUCAAACAAAUUAUUCGGGUAUCAACUCCGUCAUCUAAAUCUGUUUUAUACACUGGGACUUGAUUUCAUUCACAAAACUAUGCAGUCUCAUCGUCUAAAGCAGCAACUAGAUAAUUGGUUAUGCCAACUCUGUUGAUAUUGGUGAACCAGACCUCCAGCAUCUCCUUCACAUUGGUGUUUGCAUGACACACUAAAACCUCUUGUUUAACUAGAACUUUCUCUAAUAUCUUUUCCAAUCUUGGAUUCACAGAUUGAUGAGGAACAACAGUAGUGUUGGCUCUUAAUCCCUUUACAGUAGCAAAAGGUCUAGAUUUAGGCUGUUUUCCUAAUGUAAGGAACUGCUUUUGAGCCUGUUCUUUCCCUUGAUUUGACUCUGUUCUAAGAGAAUUUUCCCAAAACUUACUAGAUUCAGAAGCCAAAUAAACAAUCACCAUUACUCCAAACAUACUUUAUUCUAAGUAAAAUGUACACUUGAAACCAAAAUUGUAGUCAUUCUCAAAGAAAAACAAAAUUGUACAACCCUAGACAAUAAGUAAUCCAUAAUCACUCUCCACGAUUUAAGUCAACAGAAAAGUGGCAUAGCUCACUGGUUGCUAACCGCAAAAGAAAAUACAAAACACUUGGAUUACAUUGGAGGCCUCCCAGAACCGAGCAGCAGACCAA
rnacentral:lncRNA from 1 species